GACGAACGCUGGCGGCGUGCUUAACACAUGCAAGUCGAGCGGUAAGGCCCUUUCGGGGGUACACGAGCGGCGAACGGGUGAGUAACACGUGGGUGACCUGCCCUCAGCUCUGGGAUAAGCCCGGGAAACUGGGUCUAAUACUGGAUAUGACUCCAUGACGCAUGUUGUGGGGUGGAAAGCCUUGUGCGGCUGAGGAUGGGCCCGCGGCCUAUCAGCUUGUUGGG
rnacentral:rRNA from 1 species